NNNNNNNNNNNNNNNNNNNNNNNNNNNUCAGUAUCUAUGUUGAAGAAAGUAAGUGGUAUCCAAUCUCAGGCACUAAGAAUAGGAAGUGGGGCAUUUAGAACAUCGCCAGUCUCAGCGAUGCAGGUGGAAAUGGCGGAGUUGCCUUUAGACCUCCGGAGACUUAAGUUAAAGAUGGCAUACUGGUGUUCUGUAAGGGGGCAUGUAGAAACCCAUCCAGUCAAAGAUGUUUUACAGAAAUGUUGGGAACAUGAGUAUAUAAAUUAUUGUAGUUUUGGAUGGAAUGCCAACGCAGAUGCUAAGAAGGUAGGAAUUAAUGACAUAAAAAUAAGUUCAACGGUAGCAAUACCAAUUAUACCCCCUUGGCUGUUCCGCAUGCCAAUGGUAGAUCUUCAGUUGCAUUUUAAAAUAAAUGAAAAGGAAAGGUGUAUGCCUAAAGAAAUAGUAGUGGAUCACUAUUUGAAACAAAACUAUUUUAAUAGUAUUCAAAUAUAUACGGAUGGGUCAAAAAAUCCAGAUUCUGGGUAUACAGCAGCAGCCAUAUAUAUUCCCUAUUUUAAAUAUAGCACAGUUAAAAGGUUAUCUAACGAUGUAUCUGUAUUCACAACAGAAAUGGUGGCAAUUCUAAUGGCUUUGCAGUGGGUGGAAGAAAUCAAUCCUAUAAGUGUAGUAGUUUGUUCAGAUUCAUAUUCAGUAUUAAACAGUUUAAAUAGUGGGAAAUCAGCAUCUAGACAGGAUAUACUUUAUGAAAUUUUACAGAAUUUAUAUAGAAUAAACCAAACAGGAGUAAGAGUAGAGUUUUUAUGGAUACCUGCCCAUGUAGGUGUAGAAGGGAAUGAGGAGGUGGAUAAGCUGGCCAAGUCAGCAUUGAGAAAAGAAGAGAUUGACAUAGAAAUUCCUUUAAGUAAAACAGAAGUAAAAGGUAUUAUUAAAACAGCAGUUGGAAGUAUGUGGCAAGACGUAUGGAAUAAAGAGUCAAAAGGGAGACACUUAUUUAGUAUUCAACAGAAAGUGGGGAUUGAAAGAAAGGUAUAUGGAAACAGAAGAGAAGAUACUGUUAUAACCAGGAUCCGUAUAGGACACUCUAACCUUAAUUAUUCAUUGCAUAUAAUAGGAAAAAGUGAGUCAGAUAGCUGCAGUUACUGUGGAAUAACAGAAACAGUUGAACAUGUGCUCUUACAUU
rnacentral:lncRNA from 1 species